AGCGAACGCUGGCGGCAGGCCUAACACAUGCAAGUCGAACGAAGCCUUCGGGCUUAGUGGCGGACGGGUGAGUAACACGUGGGAACGUACCUUUUGGUUCGGAAUAACGCAGAGAAAUUUGCGCUAAUACCGGAUGAGCCCUUCGGGGGAAAGAUUUAUCGCCGAAAGAUCGGCCCGCGUUGGAUUAGGUAGUUGGUGUGGUAAAGGCGCACCAAGCCUACGAUCCAUAGCUGGUCUGAGAGGAUGAUCAGCCACACUGGGACUGAGACACGGCCCAGACUCCUACGGGAGGCAGCAGUGGGGAAUCUUGCGCAAUGGGCGAAAGCCUGACGCAGCCAUGCCGCGUGAAUGAUGAAGGUCUUAGGAUUGUAAAAUUCUUUUACCAGGGACGAUAAUGACGGUACCUGGAGAAAAAGCCCCGACUAACUUCGUGCCAGCCGCCGCAGUAAAAC
rnacentral:rRNA from 1 species